UGGGGAAUAUUGCGCAAUGGGCGAAAGCCGGACGCAGCGACGCCGCGUGAGGGAUGAAGGUUUUCGGAUCGUAAACCUCUGUCAGAAGGGAAGAAACCGCACUGUGCUAAUCAGCAGUGCCUUGACGGUACCUUCAAAGGAAGCACCGGCUAACUCCGUGCCAGCAGCCGCGGUAAUACGGAGGGUGCAAGCGUUAAUCGGAAUUACUGGGCGUAAAGCGCACGUAGGCUGCUUUGUAAGUCAGGGGUGAAAUCCCACGGCUCAACCGUGGAACUGCCUUUGAUACUGCUUAGCUUGAAUCCGGGAGAGGGUGGCGGAAUUCCAGGUGUAGGAGUGAAAUCCGUAGAUAUCUGGAGGAACAUCAGUGGCGAAGGCGGCCACCUGGACCGGUAUUGACGCUGAGGUGCGAAAGCGUGGGGAGCAAACAGG
rnacentral:rRNA from 1 species